rnacentral:rRNA from 1 species
GCCAAAAAUCUAGCCCUAUUUUAACAAAUGACCCGUAAAUUAAACCUAUAAACAAAAUCAUUUACUAUAUUUAGUAAAGGCGAUUGAAAAGUCAAUUAGAGCUAUAAUAGUAGUACCGCAAGGAAAAGAUGAAAUAAAUAUGAAACAGACCUUAAGCACAAAAAAGCAGAGGCAUAUUCUCGUACCUUUUGCAUCAUGGUCUAACUAGUCUAAUCAAGCAUAAAGAACUUUAGUUUGACCUCCCGAAACUAGGCGAGCUACUUCGAGGCAGCUUAAUGAGCCCACCCGUCUCUGUUGCAAAAGAGUGGGGAGACCCCCAAGUAGCGGUGAUAGACCUAACGAGCCUAGUGAUAGCUGGUUACUUAAGAAAAGGAUUUAAGUCCUCCCUAAAGCAUUAUUAAUAAUUAUAAACAUCAUCUAUGCUUUAAAGCCACUCAAAUGAGGUACAGCCCAUUUGAAAUAAGGAUACAACCUACACCAAUGGGUAAUUUAUUUUGUAGAUUUAAAUAAGUGGGCCUAAAAGCAGCCACCUUUAAAAUAGCGUCAAAGCUUUCCUAAUUAAUACACUAAUUUCACAACAUAUCAAAAACCCUUUAUUUAUAUUAAGUUAUUCUAUAGUCUUAUAGAAGAAUUUAUGUUAGAACUAGUAAUAAGAAGAUCGUCCUUCUCUUUGAUGUAAGUGUAAAUCAGAAAGGACCAACCACUGAUAAUUAAUCAUUAAUGAGCACUAAACAGCAACCUUACCAGAAAACCCUGUUUUUACUAAUGUUAAUUUAACACUAGCACAUCACAAGAAAGAUUUAAAAAAAAAGAAGGAACUCGGCAAAUAUUAACCUCGCCUGUUUACCAAAAACAUCGCCUCUCGCCACAUAUGAGAGGUCCAGCCUGCCCAGUGACUAAAUUCAACGGCCGCGGUAUCCUAACCG